rnacentral:rRNA from 1 species
AAAGGCCCUUCGGGGUACUCGAGUGGCGAACGGGUGAGUAACACGUGGGUGAUCUGCCCUGCACUUUGGGAUAAGCCUGGGAAACUGGGUCUAAUACCGAAUAGGACCGCAUGCUUCAUGGUGUGUGGUGGAAAGCUUUUGCGGUGUGGGAUGGGCCCGCGGCCUAUCAGCUUGUUGGUGAGGUAAUGGCUUACCAAGGCGACGACGGGUAGCCGGCCUGAGAGGGUGACCGGCCACACUGGGACUGAGAUACGGCCCAGACUCCUACGGGAGGCAGCAGUGGGGAAUAUUGCACAAUGGGCGCAAGCCUGAUGCAGCGACGCCGCGUGAGGGAUGACGGCCUUCGGGUUGUAAACCUCUUUCGCCAGGGACGAAGCGCAAGUGACGGUACCUGGAGAAGAAGGACCGGCCAACUACGUGCCAGCAGCCGCGGUAAUACGUAGGGUCCGAGCGUUGUCCGGAAUUACUGGGCGUAAAGAGCUCGUAGGUGGUUUGUCGCGUUGUUCGUGAAAACUCACAGCUUAACUGUGGGCGUGCGGGCGAUACGGGCAGACUUGAGUACUGCAGGGGAGACUGGAAUUCCUGGUGUAGCGGUGGAAUGCGCAGAUAUCAGGAGGAACACCGGUGGCGAAGGCGGGUCUCUGGGCAGUAACUGACGCUGAGGAGCGAAAGCGUGGGGAGCGAACAGGAUUAGAUACCCUGGUA